rnacentral:tRNA from 1 species
UCACCCGGUCGGCCAGGCCGUAGGCGACCGCCUCGGGCGCGGUCAACGCCAUGCUCCGAUCGGUGUCGGCGCGGAUCUUCUCCACCGGGUGACCC